AAUGCAGAUUGUUCAGUUAAAUUUGAGUUUCAAGUAGACAGCAAGGAAUUUCUUAGCAUAAAUAUGUCUCGUGCACUAUUUGGGAAAUACUUAUGCUAAAAAGUGAUUUGUUGUUUAUCUGAAAGUCAAAUUUAGUUGGAUAUCUUAUAUUUU
rnacentral:miRNA from 1 species